rnacentral:rRNA from 1 species
UACGUAGGGGGCAAGCGUUAUCCGGAUUUACUGGGUGUAAAGGGCGCGCAGGCGGGAUAAAAAGUCAGUGGUGAAAUCCUCCAGCUUAACUGUAGAACUGCCUUUGAUACUUGUAUUCUUGAGUUCGGGAGAGAGAGGCGGAAUUCCAGGUGUAGUGGUGAAAUACGUAGAUAUCUGGAAGAACACCGGUUGCGAAGGCGGUCUCUUGGUCCGGUACUGACGCUGAGGAGCGAAAGCGUGGGGAGCAAACAGG